UGGGGAAUUUUGGACAAUGGGCGCAAGCCUGAUCCAGCCAUGCCGCGUGAGUGAAGAAGGCCUUCGGGUUGUAAAGCUCUUUCGGCGGGGAAGAAAUUGCACUCUCUAAUACAGGGUGUAGAUGACGGUACCCGCAUAAGAAGCACCGGCUAACUACGUGCCAGCAGCCGCGGUAAUACGUAGGGUGCGAGCGUUAAUCGGAAUUACUGGGCGUAAAGCGUGCGCAGGCGGUUGUGUAAGUCAGAUGUGAAAUCCCCGGGCUCAACCUGGGAACUGCAUUUGAGACUGCACGGCUAGAGUGUGACAGAGGGGGGUAGAAUUCCACGUGUAGCAGUGAAAUGCGUAGAGAUGUGGAGGAAUACCGAUGGCGAAGGCAGCCCCCUGGGUUACUACUGACGCUCAUGCACGAAAGCGUGGGGAGCAAACA
rnacentral:rRNA from 2 species